rnacentral:rRNA from 1 species
AGCGAACGCUGGCGGCAGGCCUAACACAUGCAAGUCGAACGAAGUCUUCGGACUUAGUGGCGGACGGGUGAGUAACACGUGGGAACGUGCCUUUAGGUUCGGAAUAACUCAGGGAAACUUGUGCUAAUACCGAAUGUGCCCUUCGGGGGAAAGAUUUAUCGCCUUUAGAGCGGCCCGCGUCUGAUUAGCUAGUUGGUGAGGUAAAGGCUCACCAAGGCGACGAUCAGUAGCUGGUCUGAGAGGAUGAUCAGCCACAUUAGGACUGAGACACGGCCCAAACUCCUGCGGGAGGCAGCAGUGGGGAAUCUUGCGCAAUGGGCGAAAGCCUGACGCAGCCAUGCCGCGUGAAUGAUGAAGGUCUUAGGAUUGUAAAAUUCUUUCACCGGGGACGAUAAUGACGGUACCCGGAGAAGAAGCCCCGGCUAACUUCGUGCCAGCAGCCGCCGUAAUAC